rnacentral:rRNA from 1 species
AUGGAAAAUGUACUAUUAACAAAGAGAGCAUUGCGGAACUUGUGUGGGAAAAUUGGACGUGAUCAGGCUGAAGAUGAUGUCCGCAAAACAAUGGAGGUAUUUCAGGAGCUAGGUGCUAAAGAUCAACAGUUCACAUAUCGAGUCCAAGCUGCCAAGGACGGAAGGAUAGGUACUCUUAUGUGGGCUACUGGUAACAGCAGAUUGCAGUACACCUUCUUCGGAGACGUCGUGACAUUCGAUACAACUUACAGGACCAACCUGUACGACAUGCCUUUCGGGCUUUUUGUUGGAGUGAACAACCACUUUCAGAGCAUUAUACUGGCCGGCGUCUUGGUGAGAGAUGAGAAGGUGGAAACAUUUGAAUGGGUUUUUGCAGAGUUUGUCAGAAUGAUGGGUGGCAAUGCGCCGAAAACAAUUCUAACAGACCAAAAUCGCGCGAUGGAGGUGGCCGUAAUGAAUGUGAUGCCAAAUACGGUGCACCGGUGGUGCAAGUGGCAUGUGCUGAAGAAGGCGAAGGAGUCAUUGGGGCGAUUGUACUUCAUAAAGAGUGAUUUCCAAGCAGAGUUUCACAAGGUCGUUAAUCACAUGCGGACAAUUGAUGAGUUUGAAGAGGCCUGGAAGUACCUAAUAGAUAAAUACAACCUGAAGUCGCACGAGUACAUGACUAAUAUAUAUGAGACACGUCACAAGUGGGCAAAGUCGUACUUCAAAGGUGUGUUUUGUGCUAAAAUGACUAGCACUCAGCGGAGUGAAAGUGUGAACCAUAUGUUGAAGAACUAUAUACCCCCAAGAUGUCCUAUGCAUCUGUUUGUGAGGAAAUACAUGGUGCUGCAGUUUGUCAGGGAAGCGGAGGAAAAUUAUGAGGAGAAGAGGACCCUAAUUAAUCGACGGCCGGCGUUGGCUCCAGAACGAGGGAUCCAGGUAUACACCCGAUUGCCGCACCCUGCACAUGGGACCAGGGGCAAGACCUCAUCCUGCGCAGCCGAUGAAGAUGAUGCAGACAUGGUUGAGGGCGAGCUCGUACUGGGAAUGGCUCGGCUACGAUUGUAUACAAGUACUGAUCUGUGA